CUCUCUCCCGGUUUGCUGAUGUUAUUGCCCUGUGUGUCCAGCCCGAGCCAGAGUUUCGACCACCUAUGUCAGAAGUUGUUCAGGCAUUGGUUCGUCUCGUUCAACGAGCUAAUAUGAGCAAGAGAACGGUUGGAAAUGAUCAGGGAACACCUCGGCAAGCAGACAACCCAGAAGCACCUGACUACAUGUCUUAGAUGGCAGUGAUACCUACGGUUACUUGUUCCAAUGUUACAUACAGGCUACAGUACAUCAAUGGUCUUCAUUUUAUUUGCUUUCAAGUUUUUUGAACAUAGAUGUUUAGUUUAAUUUUCUCGUAUGGAGCACAUGG
rnacentral:misc_RNA from 1 species